GACGAACGCUGGCGGCGUGCUUAACACAUGCAAGUCGAACGGAAAGGCCCUGCUUUUGUGGGGUGCUCGAGUGGCGAACGGGUGAGUAACACGUGAGUAACCUGCCCUUGACUUUGGGAUAACUUCAGGAAACUGGGGCUAAUACCGGAUAGGAGCUCCUGCUGCAUGGUGGGGGUUGGAAAGUUUCGGCGGUUGUGGAUGGACUCGCGGCUUAUCAGCUUGUGGGUGGGGUAGUGGCUUACCAAGGCUUUGACGGGUAGCCGGCCUGAGAGGGUGACCGGCCACAUUGGGACUGAGAUACGGCCCAGACUCCUACGGGCGGCAGCAGUGGAGAACAUUGCACAAUGGGCGGAAGCCUGAUGCAGCAACCCCGCGUGCGGGAUGACGGCCUUCGGGUUGUAAACCGCUUUCGCCUGUGACGAAGCGUGAGUGACGGUAAUGGGUAAAGAAGCACCGGCUAACUACGUG
rnacentral:rRNA from 1 species